AUUGGCAGCUAGAAGAAUACCGUCCAGAUGAGUGGUUGCUCAGAUAAUCCUUCAAGAGAUGGCCACUGCCAAGCUUCUUUUGUACAGGGGGAGACUCUGCUAAUAGAAAGCCAGAAGAGAUGGUGCAUUUCCUCUUCUGUUGGAAUUUCCCUACCCCCGUGUAUAAGGGCUAUGGACUUCAGAGAGGGAGUGUAGAAGCAAAGAAAGAUUAUGGGAGAAUACGUCUCAAUGAGCAUAAUAUUCUUGAGCCAAAGAACACAAGAUAAUAAAGAGAGAAACCCUCUUGCCCCACCCCAACC